rnacentral:rRNA from 1 species
AGUGAACGCUGGCGGCAGGCCUAAUACAUGCAAGUCGAACGGCAGCACAGCAGAGCUUGCUCUGUGGGUGGCGAGUGGCGGACGGGUGAGGAAUACAUGGGAAUCUGCCCAGUCGUGGGGGAUAACGUAUGGAAACGUACGCUAAUACCGCAUGCGCCCUACGGGGAAAGUCGGGGACCGCAAGGCCUGACGCGAUUGGAUGAGCCCAUGUUCGAUUAGCUAGUUGGCGGGGUAAAGGCCCACCAAGGCGACGAUCGAUAGCUGGUCUGAGAGGAUGAUCAGCCACACUGGAACUGAGACACGGUCCAGACUCCUACGGGAGGCAGCAGUAGGGAAUAUUGGACAAUGGGGGCGAACCCUCGAUCCACGCCA